GCUGUGAGCAAGCCUGCCACCAGGUCCCGCUGCCCCAAAUUCUGCCCACGCCUCAAAGUCCCACUUUGGGCUGCCCUCCUGCAGGGCAGCUCUUCUCACCCACUGCACAGAAGUGGGGAUCCCGAGCCUUGUGUCCCAGGUGGGCACAAACAAGGGCGGAAGAGAGCCUCAGAAUACUGAGUUUAGGAACCAGAACUGUGAAGCCUUGGAGAUUCUGGAAUGUUAGAAAUCAGGCCCAGAGUGGAAAGGUAUGCAGAACCUCACAGCGCAUCCCUGGGACAGCUCACAGGAGCAUCGGGCUUAUCUCGGGGGGUGCUGUCUCGGCUGCUGCUCCCACAGCUCAGGACAAAGCACUGGGCUUCCCUCCUGCCCAGGCGCCUCCAGGACAGCAUGGCGUUUGGCUAGCUGAGACUGGUAGCUCUGUUGCUAGGAGACAAGGAAACCCAGUUAUCACCCGCCACAGCCCUAGAUGGGACUCUGGCCUCAUUGUCCUGCUUCUGCCUCUGGGGCAACUGUUACCCCUAAAGAGGGGCUCCUGGGUCCCCGCCAGCCCCACCAUCCUCCACGUGCUCCCCCCAAGUCUUUUGUCUCAGGCUCACGCUGCUGAAGCUCUGCCUCCAGACCACUGGGUCUUUCCC